rnacentral:rRNA from 1 species
AUGAAGCUUCUUCCGGCCGCCCUCGGCCUCGUCCUCCUCCUCCUCCUCGUUCUAAAUCCCAAUGGCGUGGAGGCCCGGCCAGCCCCUGCCGGCGGCCAUCAGAAGAAGUCGUCGAGCAACACUUUCUUCGUCUUCGGGGACGACUUCUCCGACAACGGGAACCUCCCUCUCACCGACCCCGUCACGAAGAUGUCGCGGCGAUGGGCCUACCCCUACGGCUCCGUGUAUACCGAUGCCCAUGGGUUUCCGCGACCAAAUACUCCGUCUGGCCGCUUCUCCAACUACAAAAUCCAGUCAGAUUUCAUCGCGACAAUGUUGGGGUUGGAGGAGGCCCCUCCUGCGCAUGCCCUCACAGCAGACAAAACCUGCGACCCGUCCGGCAUGACCUUCGCCUAUGGUGGUGCAGGUGUGCUGGAAAGUACAUCACACGGGGUUCACACCCUCCGCAAGCAGGUCGACGCUUUCAGGAAGAUGGUCAAGGAUGGGACCAUCUCUGAGAAGCAGUUGAGUCACUCGGUAGCGCUCGUGGCCAUCUCCGGCAACGAUUAUGCAAGCACAGGCGUGAUUGGCCUAAGUAACCCCAGUGAUAUUACUGCUUAUAUUGGAAAGGUGACAGAAGAGAUCGCGGCUAAUGUGGAGCAAUUGUUGAAGCUCGGAGUGAAAAAAGUUCUUGUCAACAACUUGCACCCUAUCGGUCGCACGCCGUCACAAACCCGAACCAAUAACUACACCGCGUGCGAUAUUUUGGAAAUUUGGGUGCAUCAAUUCACAACGAUAACCUGA